GUUUGAAUAAGUUUGAAGUGUACGAUCUGUUAAAGUUGAUUGUCAAACAAUGCGCAUCAUGAAUGCUGUUUGUUUUAUCGUAGUUGUAAUGGUUAUUAGUUGCUAUGGUAAUAAGACGAAUUCUGGAUCUUAUACACUAAAACUUGCAGACUGUCGGUUUUCCAAUGGGUACUUAUUGUGCACCACUACUGGCCGACUUUUUUUGUACUAGUAUGAAGCAGAAUUCACACAGAACCUUCACAAAAAGAAAAAGAAAAAGCAUAUUAAAAAGUUCUCAUAUA